GACGAACGCUGGCGGCGUGCUUAACACAUGCAAGUCGAACGGAAAGGCCCUGCUUUUGUGGGGUGCUCGAGUGGCGAACGGGUGAGUAACACGUGAGUAACCUGCCCUUGACUUUGGGAUAACUUCAGGAAACUGGGGCUAAUACCGGAUAGGAGCUCCUGCUGCAGGGUGGGGGUUGGAAAGUUUCGGCGGUUGGGGAUGGACUCGCGGCUUAUCAGCUUGUUGGUGGGGUAGUGGCUUACCAAGCCUUUGACGGGUAGCCGGCCUGAGAGGGUGACCGGCCACAUUGGGACUGAGAUACGGCCCAGACUCCUACGGGAGGCAGCAGUGGGGAAUAUUGCACAAUGGGCGGAAGCCUGAUGCAGCGACGCCGCGUGCGGGAUGACGGCCUUCGGGUUGUAAACCGCCUUCGCCUGUGACGAAGCGUGAGUGACGGUAAUGGGUAAAGAAGCACCGGCUAACUACGUG
rnacentral:rRNA from 1 species